AGUUCGAUGUAUGAUAUGAUUGUUGACCUGGCGGGAUGCUUUACACAUGCACGUCGAACGGCAGCACGGACUUCGGUCUGGUGGCGAUGUGAACGGGUGAUAAUGUAUCGAACGUGCCUAGUAGCGGAAAUCAACUACGCGGCGUAGCUAAUACCGCAUACGCCCUUCAGGGGAAAAGCGGGGACCUUCGGGCCUCGCACUAUUAAGAGCGGCCGAUAUCGGAUUAGCUAGUUGGUGAGGCUUAACGGCUCACCAAGGCGACGAUCCGUAGCGCUGGUUUGAAGGACGACCAGCCACGCAGGACUGGGCAGCCAGACUCCGGAAGGCUGGCAGUGGAAUUUUGGACAAUGGGGAAACCCUGAUCGCCAUCCCGCGUGUCUGAUGGUAUGGGUUGUAGAAAGCCUUUGGCGGGAAAAACGGCACGGGAUAAUACCCCGUGCAACUAAACACCUGCAGAAUAAGCACCGGCUAACUACGUGCCAGCAGCCGCGAUAAUGUGAAGUUACCGGCGUUAAUCCAGAUUACUGGGCGUCUACAGCGUGCGCAGGCGGUUCCGGAAGAAAGAUGUAGAGGUAAUCCCAGGCUUACAACUUUGGGGCAUUUUUAACUACCGGCUAGAGUGCUGUCAGGGAGUGGAAUUCCGCGUGUAGCAGUGAAAUGCGUAGAUAUGCGGAGGAACACCGAUAGCGGGCUGGCACCUCCUGGGAUAACACUGACGCUCAUGCACGAAGCGUGGGGGAGCAAACGGGAUUAGAUACCCUGGUAGUCCACGCCCUAAACGAUGUCAACUAGCUGUUGGGGCCUUCGGGCCUUGGUAGCGCAGCUAACGCGUGAAGUUGACCGCCUGGGGAAGUACGGUCGCAAGAUUAAAACUCAAAAGGAAUUGACGGGGACCGCACAAGCGGUGGAUAGUGGAUUAAUUCGAUGCAGCACGAAAAACCUUACCUACCCUUGACAUGGAAUCCCGAAGAGAUUUGGGAGUGCUCGCAAGAGAACCGGAACACAGGUGCUGCAUGGCUGUCGUCGACUCGUGUCGUGAGAUGUUGGGUUGAAUCUGUAACGAGCGCAACCCUUGUCGUGGAUUGCUACGAGGCACUCUAAUGAGACUGCCGGUGACAAACCUGGAGGAAGGUGGGGAUGACGUCAAGUCCUCAUGGCCCUUAUGGGUAGGGCUUCGCGAUAAUACAAUGAUGGACGGGGUCGCCAACCCGCGAGGGAGGCCAAUCCCAGAAACCCGAUCGUAGUCCGGAUCGCAGUCUGCAACUCGACUUGCGUGAAGUCGGAUAUCGCUAGUAAUCGCCGGAUAUUAUCGCGGUGAAUACGUUCCCGGGUCUUGUACACACCUUCCGCUCCAUACCAUGGGAGUGGGUUUACCCAGAAGUAGUUAGCCUAACCGUAAGGAGGGCGAUUACCACGGUAGGAUUCAUGACUGGGGUGAAGUCGUAACAAGGUAA
rnacentral:rRNA from 1 species